rnacentral:rRNA from 1 species
AUGGCCGCGGCAUUUGGGUGUCUCGCUGAUUUGGUGUGUGGAUUUGUUGGUGGUGUGCCAGGACGGCUGGGGAUUUGGAUGCCGGCGAUGUUGUUCACGGAGGGCCUGGACUGGGACGCGCUCAAGUUGGUGCGGAAGGUGAGCGGGCAGCGGCGGCCUCAUGACACCGCCGGAGAAGUUCAGGAGCGGCCACGUGCCGCGCGCGUCGGUGCCGCUGCGCGCCGCAUACGGGAGCGCCUCCACAGCCUCCGACGUGGACAAGUCCUCAAACACCGAGGAGGUGCCCCGUGCCGGUACGGCAACAUGCCCGCCGCCGCCACGGAUCCCCACGGGCGACGCAGACGCUGCCAACCAGUGCAGAGCGUGGUCACGUUCCCUGCGCGGCUAUACGGACGAUCGCUUCGCUUGAGGUCGCCUUUCAUGGCUGCCACCGGCGUCGGCGGGAACGACUCUCCGAUGGCACCUGAGGACUCCACAGUGUAUCGUCUAGGCUAG